UGGUUCAUAAACAGGAAAAACAACAACAAAAAUAAAGAAAACGGAACAAGCGAGCAAAGGAACACGCAAGGCAAGCACGAAACACACGCGAACCCAUUGCAGCAGAAGCAAUUGCGAAGAAGAACAACCACAAAAAAAAGAAGAACUCUGCGUCUUCUCCUUCCCUUUCUCCCCCCUCAAAGAAGGAAGGAGCAACUUGACGCAAACGGCUGCACCGGCUCACUGACACACACACACACACACACACACACACGUACACACACACACGUACACCUGCACGUUGCCGCGGCGCGGGGUCGCACACGAGGAGUGGUAGACGCAUCCAUCUCAUCAGCACUGCGUCUGUUUUCCCCCGCUUCAUCCCCCUGCUCACUCUUCGCCACUCUUCGCCUCGCUUUCGAGUCUCUGGUGCACUUCUGAGUGGGCUUUCGCGUAGCUCAGCGUCUUCCGAGAGCAUCUGAGCUUGCUGCUUCUUUUUUUCUUCGUAUUUCUGUUCAGUCCCGCCCCCCACUCCCGCUUCGUCCCUGCUGCUCCUGUUGCCCUUUUUACUGUUUGUUGCUGUGUGUGUGUGCAAUCUGCCCGUGUAUUGGAUUCCUUUCGUUUCCUUUACGGUAAAGCGUUUUGUGGUGUCUCAUUUCCUUUUUUUUACGGUUUCUUCUCCCCCUUGUUUUCUUUCUUUUCUUGUUCUUUGUGGUCGAUCUCUCCUCUCGCUCCUCUGCCCCUUCCGUGUCGCUCCUGUCCUGUCCGUCCAUCGUGCAGCGCCGUCUCUCCGGGAGUUUUCUUUGUUUUCCCCCUUUUCUAUCUCUACACCUUUCCCGUUGUGGCUUCUGUCUUUUUCUUUCGCUCUUGUGUUUGUGCCUGUGUGUGUGUGUGUGAUUUGCUUUCCUCUCCCUCACGCUCAACAACAAACAGAAACAAACUCACUUCUCUCCUCUCCUUUCUUUUGUGUUGUUCUUCAAAAAAAAAGUUUAUUUUCUUUCUCGCUUCUCUCUCGCUACUUGGAUUUCCCCCCCUCCCCUACGUGUGUUCUUUCCCUCCCUCCUUUUCUUUUUUUUUUCGGGUCUUCUCUCUUCGUCCUGUUCAGUGUUCUCUCAACACGAUACGUGAGCUUCUCUGUCUUUACGCUGUUUUCUGAUUUUACUCGUGCUUUUUGACGGCUUGUGGCUCUUUCAGUUGGGGAGAACGUACCUCGCUGAAGGCGUGCGUGGUUUUUGUGUGUGUGUGUGUCUCCCUCUCUAUGCCUCUGUGUGUGUCUGAGUCUGUGCUUCAUCGACAACCUUCUUGCUUCCUCUCUCCUGUAGCUCUUUCGUUUUUCUUUUCAGCCUGUCUUCUUUAUUGGUGUCUGCUCUCUAGUUCCUGUCUUAUCUCUCAGCCAUCUUUUUGUUUACAGCUGUUGUAGUCAUAUAUAUAUAUAUAUCUUCCACCCUCCCUCCCCCUCCCCCAGGUUUUGUUUUACCUCCUGUUAUAUUUCUUUCCUGCACCUUCCCCCUCCCCCGACUUUCUUUUGUUUGUUGGCUAACUCGUCUUCUUGUUCUGCUCUUUUUUUAUUUUUCGCGCCCCACCCCCUCUUCCUUCGCUCUCCUCCGUCGGUCUGCACGUCUGUGUGGGCCUGCGUCUCUUUCUGUCUUUGUCUGUCGCAGGCUCACGCCUCCCCUUCUUGUUGACCAACGACAACAGGACUUGCUUCGCUUCCUUCUCUGUUUCUCGGGGCCACUACCGCUGAUAGGAUUUCGAAUAACACCAUCUCUCUAUCUAUAUAUAUCUAUAUAUAUUCUGCUUGUCUUUACGUCUUGGGUUUCACCUUGGUUUUAUUUCCUUUGUUUUCAUCCUUUUUUUCCUGCGCUCCGCUCCCCUCCCUCCCUCCCUAACACACUCGGCAUCAUCUCCUUGUUUGUUUCUGCAUCUGCUUCGACGCCUUCCUCUCACUCUCUGCUCUGCCGCUGCCCGCCGCCUCCCUGCCAGCUUACCUGCUCACAGAAGAACGAGGAAACGCAACACAGGUUUUCCUUUUCCUCUUUUUCCACCUCUACGCCGAAGAAGUGUGUCGUGCUAGGACUGAGCACACGCGCGCACACACACAAGAAAGAAAGAGUUUCACCGAAGGCAGACGCGAAACCACAAUUGCGCGUGAGAGUACUUAUUCGCGUAAACCUCUCACUCGCAGUUGUGCGGCUGUGUACCCGUGUGGCUUGCCACUUCUACGGCCUUUUUCCCGUCGUUGUCGUUUUCGUUGCUGCUUUUCUUGCGCGGUUUCCAAGAGGACAGCCGCCACGCAAAUUGGAAACAGCCAACAGCAGGGCACGGCGGCAAGGGGAGCCAAAAAAAAAGAGAGAGGCAGCAACGCGAAGGAAGACGUGGCCAAAGAGAAAGAGAGAGAGACGCAUAUUGGGCGCUGACAUUUUACUUCUCUUUCGGGAGGCGCUUCUUCGACACGCAGGGAACACAUCGGGUGCUACAGCAGAGCGUCCGGGCCGGCAACUGGAGAAGUGUAGCGCAUACCACACGCUGGCUGUACCCGAUAAAAGAGGAACAAAAAAAGGCGUUUAGCCGACAGAGCAGUUAGGGCGCAGGUAGACGAGGUUUGUUACCAGCAGGAAAC
rnacentral:misc_RNA from 1 species